CCAGGUAUUUAGCAAGGGGGUCCAUAAUUGGUGCUGAAUAAACCACUAUUCAACAGAACAGAAGAAGUCUGACUAAAGACACCCUGAACUGAACUGGGAGACAAGACCGCCAUGAUUCAGACAGGCAGCCAAGGAAACAGUUUUUUUUUGUCUUGAGGAAAGAGAAAUUUGAUGUAAGCUCUGAAUCUGAGUGGUCUGCAAUAUGUCUGGACAAGGGGUUGGAAGGUAUUUUUGCUUCAUAAAGAACAAGGUGAGCUCAGACUGGAAGGACCUGGCUUGGUGUCUUGGGUUUGAGACACCAGACAUAGACAACAUUGAUGGCAAACACCGGGAUGACAAGUCUCGCUGUAUGGACCUGUUACAGCAAUGGUACCAGCAGAAGGGAAACGCUGCCACCAUACAUGUGCUGAUGGAGGCCCUACAAGAUGCAGAGCUACAACAUGUGGUGGACAGUCUGAAGGACAAAU